rnacentral:rRNA from 1 species
GAUGAACGCUGGCGGCGUGCCUAAUACAUGCAAGUCGAGCGAACGGACGCGAAGCUUGCUUCUCUGAUGUUAGCGGCGGACGGGUGAGUAACACGUGGAUAACCUACCUAUAAGACUGGGAUAACUUCGGGAAACCGGAGAUAAUACCGGAUGAUAUUUUGAACCGCAUGGUUCAAAAGUAAAAGACGGUCUUGCUGUCACUUAUAGAUGGAUCCGCGCUGCAUUAGCUAGUUGGUAAGGUAACGGCUUACCAAGGCAACGAUGCAUAGCCGACCUGAGAGGGUGAUCGGCCACACUGGAACUGAGACACGGUCCAGACUCCUACGGGAGGCAGCAGUAGGGAAUCUUCCGCAAUGGGCGAAAGCCUGACGGAGCAACGCCGCGUGAGUGAUGAAGGUCUUCGGAUCGUAAAACUCUGUUAUUAGGGAAGAACAUAUGUGUAAGUAACUGUGCACAGCUUGACGGUACCUAAUCAGAAAGCCACGGCUAACUACGUG